rnacentral:rRNA from 1 species
UGGGGAAUAUUGGACAAUGGGCGAAAGCCUGAUCCAGCCAUGCCGCGUGUGUGAAGAAGGUCUUCGGAUUGUAAAGCACUUUAAGUUGGGAGGAAGGGCAGUAAGCGAAUACCUUGCUGUUUUGACGUUACCGACAGAAUAAGCACCGGCUAACUCUGUGCCAGCAGCCGCGGUAAUACAGAGGGUGCAAGCGUUAAUCGGAUUUACUGGGCGUAAAGCGUGCGUAGGCGGCUAAUUGAGUAGGAUGUGAAAUCCACGAGCUUAACUUGGGAAUUGCAUUCGAUACUGGUUAGCUAGAGUGUGGGAGAGGAUGGUAGAAUUCCAGGUGUAGCGGUGAAAUGCGUAGAGAUCUGGAGGAAUACCGAUGGCGAAGGCAGCCAUCUGGCCUAACACUGACGCUGAGGUACGAAAGCAUGGGGAGCAAACAGG